rfam:Triticum aestivum genome assembly, contig: Triticum_aestivum_CS42_TGACv1_scaffold_146047_2BS
AAAAUACUACCUCCGUUCCAAAUUACUCGUCGCUAAAAUAGAUAAAUAGAUGUAUCUAGAAUUAAAAUACAUCUAGAUACAUUCAGACAUGCAACAAGUAAUUCGAAACGGAGGGAAUACUUG